rnacentral:rRNA from 1 species
GAAUCUUCCGCAAUGGACGACAGUCUGACGGAGCAACGCCGCGUGAGUGAUGACGGUUUUCGGAUCGUAAAGCUCUUUUGCCCGGGAAGAACGCUUGGGAGAGUACCUGCUCUCAACGUGGCGGUACCUGAGAAGAAAGCCCCGGCUACCUCCGUGCCACAAGCCGCGGUAAUACGUAGGGGGCAAGCGUUGUCCGGAAUUAUUGGGCGGCAAGCGCGCGCAGGCGGUUCAUUAAGUCUGGUGUUUAAGUCUAGGGCUCAACCCUGGUUCGCACUGGAAACUGUUGAACUUGAGUGCAGAAGAGGAAAGUGGAAUUCCACGUGUAGCGGUGAAAUGCGUAGAGAUGUGGAGGAACACCAGUGGCGAAGGCGACUUUCUGGGCUGUAACUGACGCUGAGGCGCGAAAGCGUGGGGAGCAAACA